GGACUGAUUCUUCUGCUUCAGAAACCGGCUGCGAGGUAGGGGGUUCCCAAAUGCAUCAUCAAGUCCUACAAAUAAUCAAGUGGCUAUGACUGUGUUCAUUCUCUCAGAAGUCCCAUCUGAAGAGGCAAAGCUGAGCUCUACACCAAAGACUUCUGCAUUCUGAUUUCCUUGAUGGGGAGUGAACCCUGGCACAAAACCUCAGAGGGAAGAGCAGAAUCAAAUUCCUCUGACAAAGAUGAUACACAGCUCCAGGUAAGCUCUUCCCACUCUACCCCUGCACCUUCAGGCCACACACACACGGAUCAGUGGAGUGCUCAGGGAAGUCCAAUAGGACUUGACAAGGGCAAGAGAAGAAAUGGCAUGGCAACCACACGGACCUUCUAUAGCAAAAUAAAUAUUUUGAGUGAUUGUAAUAAUGUGAUAAAGAAUUGGAAGGGAGGGGCACCUGGGUGGCGCAGUUGGUUGAGUGUCCAACUCUUGGUUUUGCCUCAGGUAUGAUCUGAGGGUCAUGGGAUCAAGCCCUGAAUCAGGCUCCAUGCUCAGCACAGAAUUCUGCUUGAGAAUCUCUCCCCCUCUCCC
rnacentral:lncRNA from 1 species